AAACUUUUCCGUACAGGUACUUUCAAUAUUGGAAUUCCAAGUCAGCAAAAUAAAAUUCCUUGUAGUGGGAGGAGCUAACAGCAACUAUAAAUUGAGAAUAUUAAAAUUAUAUCAACAGUAAUCUUCAGGACGUAUCCAGAAUGUUUAGAGGAAGUACUGUCAUUUUGGUGUGUGUGGCCCUGUUCCUGGUAGCCCCCAGUGAAGGAUAUUAUCCCAACAAUGGUGGAUGUGUUUGCAUUCAAGUAUGGGAUCCUGUGUGUGGUGUAGACGGACAGACGUAUUCCAAUAAUGGAUGCCUGGCAUGCGCUGGUGUCCCAUUGGCAUGUAGGGGAGUAUGUCCUUGCUACGGACGCUACUGAACAUGGACAACACUUUGCAGUAAUGUCACCUGUGACCUAAAGAUCUAUAGUGUAUAGGUCUGAUAUGUCUGUAAAAAGGAAUUUCCUUGCUUAAUAAAUGGAAUAAUUCUA